GUCCAGACUCCUACGGGAGGCAGCAGUGAGGAAUAUUGGUCAAUGGGCGGGAGCCUGAACCAGCCAAGUCGCGUGAGGGAAGACGGUCCUAUGGAUUGUAAACCUCUUUAGGCGGGGAGCAAUGCCGGGCACGUGUGCCCGGAGGGAGAGUACCCGCAGAAUAAGCAUCGGCUAACUCCGUGCCAGCAGCCGCGGUAAUACGUAGGGAGCAAGCGUUAUCCGGAUUUAUUGGGUGUAAAGGGUGCGUAGACGGGAAGGCAAGUUGGUUGUGAAAUCCCUCGGCUUAACUGAGGAACUGCAACCAAAACUAUCUUUCUUGAGUGCUGGAGAGGAAAGUGGAAUUCCUAGUGUAGCGGUGAAAUGCGUAGAUAUUAGGAGGAACACCAGUGGCGAAGGCGACUUUCUGGACAGUAACUGACGUUGAGGCACGAAAGUGUGGGGAGCAAACAGGAUUAGAUACCCUUGUA
rnacentral:rRNA from 1 species